ensembl:lncRNA
GCCUCGCUACAUUUCAAGAUGCGGACAGCUCUCUCUACCUGCUGUUGGAUUAGUGUCAUUGCUGUAGCCCUUGUGAUGCUCUUAUCUGCACCUGAAGCUGGUUCUGCAUCAGUAGGCCUACGCUGCUGUCAUAAGAGCGCCAUAUUGAAGAAGCCCGAGGGGAUCAAGGAGUGCUUUGAACAGAUAAAACGACACAGCUGCCAUCACCAUGCCUUUGUGAUUGUGACUGAAAGAAAGAGCCUUUGUGUCAGCCCAAAUACCAAAUGGCUCAAGAAGCUUACUGAGACGGGAGAACUACAGUGUCCUAAAGGCAUCUCCUACAAACACAGAUAUGAAUUCCUGGAUGAAGAUGAAUAGCAAACUGUGACCAUAGAGACGCAUCAAUAAAAUAAAAAAUGCUGAUUUUCUUCUCACAGCUUCCACAGGCUCAUGUCAAAAGUUGUUACUGAGAAUAAAUGAUCAAUUUAG